AGUGAACGCUGGCGGUAGGCCUAACACAUGCAAGUCGAACGGCAGCACAGUAAGAGCUUGCUCUUACGGGUGGCGAGUGGCGGACGGGUGAGGAAUACAUCGGAAUCUACUUUUUCGUGGGUGAUAACGUAGGGAUACUUACGCUAAUACCGCAUACGACCUACGGGUGAAAGCAGUGGAUCUUCGGACCUUGCGCGAUUGAAUGAGCCGAUGUCGGAUUAGCUAGUUGGCGGGGUAAAGGCCCACCAAGGCGACGAUCCGUAGCUGGUCUGAGAGGAUGAUCAGCCACACUGGAACUGAGACACGGUCCAGACUCCUACGGGAGGCAGCAGUGGGGAAUAUUGGACAAUGGGCGCAAGCCUGAUCCAGCCAUACCGCGUGAGUGAAGAAGGCCUUCGGGUUGUAAAGCCCUUUUGUUGGGAAAGAAAAGCAGCAGGUUAAUACCCCGCUGUUCUGACGGUACCCAAAGAAUAAGCACCGGCUAACUUCGUG
rnacentral:rRNA from 1 species